ACCCUGGUGGCUUAGUGGUUAAGAGUUUGGCUUCAAACCAAAAAGUCAGCAGUUCGAAUCUACCAGGUG
rnacentral:tRNA from 1 species